GUCCAGGAUGAUGAAGCAGAAACCACUGUAGAUGAUCUUCCUUCCUUAACAUCAGUUGGAAGUCCUCCAAGAGCGAGUAAGAUUUUACCCAUCCUUGGGAUGCCCCAGGUUCUUGACACCACACCGUCAGAUGAAGGUGCAAUAGAAGACUCUUUUUUUCAGACAUCAAAAACCCAUAAUUAAGUGCUUAACUUGGUUUGCAGCAGAUUCCAAAAAAGUUAAAAAAUCAGUGACUUUUACAGAUGUGCCUGAAAGAAGAAGAGAAUUUGAUAGGUCUCCAUCGCAGACGUCUGAGAAUGAAGAUCAAAUUACUGAUCAGGAGGAACAGGAUUCAGAGCCUGUUGAGUCUGAAGUCACAGACGCCAUGAUUGAGGAAUCUCAGACAGAGCUGAAGAGGAUUAUUCCAGUCAGCUGUUCUGCGGAUGGUUCCUCAGUUUAUACUCAAGAUGAUAUUGCCCCAGAGAGACACAGUCAGUUUGAUAAGCAAACACCCAACCUAGAAGGGACACCCCCAGUCAUGAUCAACCCUCAGCAGACCUUAGAGCCUAAAGAAGAUUCUGCCGAAAAGCCAGAAGCUCAGAGUCCUGUUCAAGCCCGGCACAGUCAUUUGGAUCAUGACAUAGAGAACAUCUCCAGAGAAGAUAAGCUUCUGUCAUCUGAGGUGGAUUUGCAGGAACGUAAACUGGAUGAACCAAAUGGUGAGUUUUAGACUUUUAACACUUUCUUAAGUUUUUGUUAUAUUUAAUUA
rnacentral:lncRNA from 1 species